rnacentral:lncRNA from 1 species
UAAUUGAUUUUUUAUGGACAUUAUUUGUUUGGCCAUGAAUAUUUCAUAAACAAUUUUUUCCCCAAAGUACAGUUUAUAAGACAUGCAAUGGAGAGAGACAUACAGAAGUGGAUGCAUUGAGGACACGCGUGACACAGAAAGGCACACUGUGAGACUACAUGUGCUGUUAAGGAAGACGGAGAAGUAAAAAGACACUUAUCUAAUCGUCUGCAAAUUAUAGUAAGAACUACAUUAAUGAGACCUAAGGAUAUGUCCC